rnacentral:rRNA from 1 species
ACGCACGCUGGCGGCGUGCUUAACACAUGCCAGUCGAACGGAAAGGCCCUGCUUUUGUGGGGUGCUCGAGUGGCGAACGGGUGAGUAACACGUGAGUAACCUGCCCUUGACUUUGGGAUAACUUCAGGAAACUGGGGCUAAUACCGGAUAGGAGCUCCUGCUGCAUGGUGGGGGUUGGAAAGUUUCGGCGGUUGGGGAUGGGCUCGCGGCUUAUCAGCUUGUUGGUGGGGUAGUGGCUUACCAAGGCUUUGACGGGUAGCCGGCCUGAGAGGGUGACCGGCCACAUUGGGACUGAGAUACGGCCCAGACUCCUACGGGAGGCAGCAGUGGGGAAUAUUGCACAAUGGGCGGAAGCCUGAUGCAGCAACGCCGCGUGCGGGAUGAAGGCCUUCGGGUUGUAAACCGCUUUCGCCUGUGACGAAGCGUGAGUGACGGUAAUGGGUAAAGAAGCACCGGCUAACUACGUG